rnacentral:rRNA from 1 species
UACGGAAUGUGCAAACGUUAUUCGGAAUCACUGGGCUUAAAGAGUCUGUAGGCGGUUUGUUAGGUGAGGUGUGAAAUCCCUCGGCCCAACCGAGGAAUUGCGCUUCAAACCGGCGAGCUAGAGGAGGAUAGAGGUGGGCGGAACUGAUGGUGGAGCGGUGAAAUGCGUUGAUAUCGUAAGGAAGACCAGUGGCGAAGGCGGGUCUCUGGACAGUUCCUGACGCUGAGGCACGAAGGUCAGGGGAGCAAACGGG